rnacentral:lncRNA from 1 species
GUGGAGGAUGCCCCGCAGAGUGAAGCCGAGAUGAUGCAGCCACCAGGGCCGGAGGGGAGGGACAUUUCACUUUUUAAAUCAGCUUUCUAAAGUAUGAUCUCCAUAUAAUCACCUAGAAGCGUACAGCACAAUGGUCUUGACAGAUGCCAGCAUCCUUGGAACCACUGCCACCACCAACGUCUCAAACCAUUCCAUCAAACCCAGAACACUCCUGGUGCCCUGAAGCGUCUCCCUUCAAUGGCAGAACCAGCAGAGAUUCAGUGGUCACAAGGUGAGUGAGGCGGCCUGGGUCUGGCUCCUGGCCAUUAAUUUUAAAUAAUUUGCAUUUAACUUUGAACCACCACACCUGGCCAUAUUGGAUAGUGCAGGAGGAAUAAACUCACUGGCACAUCCUUCUGGGGGUUCUACUGUGUGCCCCUCUCCAAGCGGAGCGUGUGGGAACAGAGAGCAGCAUCCCUGCCACAGUGGGUGGCGGUCUGCUUGUGAGAUAUUUUAUUUUCUUGAAACAAAUAAAAAAGACAAAAGGAUGCAUGGUGUAAAAACUAGUGUUCAGGCUAAAAUCAAAAAACCAUUAGUGGGCAACACAGCACAGAGUGGGCUCUGCCCAGGCCACAUGUG